rnacentral:rRNA from 1 species
AUUGAACGCUGGCGGCAGGCCUAACACAUGCAAGUCGAACGAGUGGCGGACGGGUGAGUAAUGUCUGGGAAACUGCCCGAUGGAGGGGGAUAAAUACUGGAAACGGUAGCUAAUACCGCAUACCAUCGGAUGUGCCCAGAUGGGAUUAGCUAGUAGGUGGGGUAACGGCUAACCUAGGCGACGAUCCCUAGCAGGUCUGAGAGGAUUACCAGCCACACUGGACCUGAGACACGGCCCAGACUCCUACGGGAGGCAGCAGUGGGGAAUAUUGCACAAUGGGCGCAAGCCUGAUGCAGCCAUGCCGCGUGUAUGAAGAAGGCCUUCGGGUUGUAAAGUACUUUCAGCGGGGAGGCGUUACCAACAGAAUAAGCACCGGCUAACUUCGUGCCAGCAGCCGCGGUAAUUC